GCCUAGCCCUAAAUCCUGAUGCUUACCGUACCAAAGCAUCCGCCUGGGAACUACGAGCACAAACGCUUAAAACUUUAAGGACUUGGCGGUGUCCCAAACCCACCUAGAGGAGCCUGUUCUAUAAUCGAUAACCCACGAUUCACCCGACCACCUCUUGCCAGAGCAGCCUACAUACCGCCGUCGCCAGCUCACCUCCCCUGAGAGCCCAACAGUGAGCACAAUAGCCCAACCCACUAACAAGACAGGUCAAGGUAUAGCCCAUGGGGUGGAAGAAAUGGGCUACAUUUUCUACAAUAGAAAACCUACGAAAGAGGGUAUGAAAUAACCCCCGGAAGGCGGAUUUAGCAGUAAAGGGGGACAAUAGGGCCCCCUUUAAGUUGGCCCUGGGGCACG
rnacentral:rRNA from 1 species